UUAUUGGGUGUGGGGUUGAUGGGGGAAGGGCCGAGUGUGAGGUAUGGUUGGGUAGUACAGUGGUUGGGGUGGAUAUUUUGGGUUAGGUAAGGCUAAGUGUGUGUGUGUGUGUGUGUAUGUGUGUGUGACGGGAGGAAUGAGGAAAGGAAGGAAGGAAGCGAUGAGGGGGAGAGAAAGUAGGAAAGGAUGAAGGGAAGGAGAGGAAAGGAAGGACGGAAGGAAAUAGUGGGAGAGAAUGUAGGAAAGGAUGAAGGGAAGGAGGAGGAAGAGGUGCAAUAAGAGGAAAGGAAGGAAGCAAGGGAAGAGGGAGAGAGAAAACAGGAAAUGAUGAAGGGAAGGAGGAGGAAGAGGUACCGUGAGAAGAAAGGAAGGAAGGAAGGAAGGGAAGAGGGGGAGAGAAAACAGGAAAUGAUGAAGGGAAGGAGGAGGAAGAGGUGCAAUAAGAGGAAAGGAAGGGAAGAGGGAGAGAGAAAACAGGAAAUGAUGGAAGGAAGGAGGAGGAAGAGGUUCUUUUUAUCCUCUUCUUUCAGACAUAAAAAAGAAGGAAGAAGAGGAAUGAAGGAAGUUACAGUUUCAACGAGUCUUCCUCCUCUUCCUCUUUCUCCUCCUCCUCUUCCUCUUAUCCUAUUCUUUCAGACACAAAAAAUGGAGGAAGAGAAGGUAUGAAGGAAGGAAGGAGAAGGAGGGAGAAGGAAGGAAAUAUGUGUAAAUGUGUGUCAGUCUGUCUUUCAAUCUAGUAUAUGUGUCUGUGUUUACAUUUGUGUGUGUACGUAACCUAACCCACACACACAUACCCCUGUCCAC